rnacentral:sRNA from 1 species
AGGCUUGCUGUUCUGCAAACCAGCUAUGGCCUGGUGGCCCAUGGCCGUAGGCCGUAGCCUCCUGUGAACUGUGCCACACGUUCUCAUCUUCAGAUCUCUGGCCCAACCCGCUGGGUGCCCUGGAUCUCCCCCGAGACCACCGCCCGGCCCCACCUGGCUGUCAUCGGGCUGGAUGCCUACCUGUGGUCUCGCCAGCACGUUUCCCGGAGGACACAGCAGCCAGAGCGCCCGAAGGUGGCCGGUGCCGAGGUGGCCGUCGGCUGGCCGGAGGUGGAAGAGGCCCUGGUACUCCUGCAGCUCUGGGCAAACCUGGACGUGCUACUGGUGGCCUCGUGGCAGGAGCUGAGUCGGCACGUGUGCGCCGUUACCAAGGCACUCGCCCAGUAUCCCCUCAAGCAGUACCGGGAAUCGCAGGCCUUUUCCUUCUGCACAGCAGGGCACUGGGCAGCCGGCGAGCCAGUGGCAAGAGACGGCACA